AGAGUUUGAUCCUGGCUCAGGACGAACGCUGGCGGCAGGCUUAACACAUGCAAGUCGAGCGCCGUAGCAAUACGGAGCGGCAGACGGGAGAGUAACACGUGGGAACGUGCCCUUCGGUUCGGAAUAACUCAGGGAAACUUGAGCUAAUACCGGAUACGUCCGAAAGGAGAAAGAUUUAUCGCCGAGGGAUCGGCCCGCGU
rnacentral:rRNA from 1 species